rnacentral:lncRNA from 10 species
UUGGGGCAGCGGAAACGCAGAUGCGCCACAUAGGGGAACUCAAACUGGAAACGUUGGCUGCAUUCCAGGCAUGUGUAAGGGGACGACCCUGCUUAGUGAGCAAACACCACACACACGCACGCACGCACACACACACACACACGCACACCACAUGAUUACUCAGCAUCGCCCCCAAGCCAGUUUGCCACCAUCCCCUUGACAAAUCCACCUUCAUUUCUCAGGGCCUGAGUGCCUGAGAAAAGAAUGACCAACCUGAUCUAACUUUCCCUCCUGAUUUGGAGGGAAUACAGCAAACAAGCAAGUUUCCUCGCUUUAUCCUCACCUAUCUGUUUAACUUCAUUCCAGACUACAUCUCAGAAUCUUCCUAUGAGACACCCGAAGGGAAGAAAGGCGCGCCAACGCGCCGGGUGAGCCCCUGCCGCUCCCUGCGUCUCUCCCCCGCUAGUUAAGGGCCCACACGCCGGUCGCGAGCCAACCUACCAUUCAUUUUGUUGUGGGAUCUAGAGGGGCAGAGCAAGAGUAACUCAGUCAGUUCUUUCCCGUACCAAACUAGUAACUCCUCGUCUUUGGCAAUCCUGCGGAGAGAGCGGUAGAACAGCUGUCCGUUUUUUAUGUAGGCUUCAAGGUUCUGCUCUUCCUUAUCUCUGGCCGAUUGGACCAACCGCAGCCACAUGAGACCUUCUGAGGAACCAUUUGCUGCUGAGGUGUCUACCUGCGGUUUGAAAUAAAUGAAAGAAGACAAGAAGGAGAGGGGGAGAGGGACCCUCAUGAGGGAAUGAAAUCAGAAGAAUCAAGACCAUUUCUUCUAUGAGGGGAACAGCGUUAGUGAGCAGGCGGAGACAGCGGAGCAUGGCGAAUGGAUUUCAAGUGGAAUGUCA